rnacentral:rRNA from 1 species
GAUGAACGCUGGCGGCGUGCCUAAUACAUGCAAGUCGAGCGAACAGAUGAGGAGCUUGCUCCUCUGACGUUAGCGGCGGAAGGAUGAGUAACACGUGGAUAACCUACCUAUGAGACUGGGAUAACUUCGGGAAACCGGAGCUAAUACCGGAUAAUAUAUUGAACCGCAUGGUUCAAUAGUGAAAGACGGUUUUGCUGUCACUUAUAGAUGGAUCCGCGCCGCAUUAGCUAGUUGGUAAGGUAACGGCUUACCAAGGCGACGAUGCGUAGCCGACCUGAGAGGAUGAUCAGCCACACUGGAACUGAGACACGGUCCAGACUCCUACGGGAGGCAGCAGUAGGGAAUCUUGCGCAAUGGGCGAAAGCCUGACGGAGCAACGCCGCGUGAGUGAUGAAGGUCUUCGGAUCGUAAAACUCUGUUAUUAGGGAAGAACAAAUGUGUAAGUAACUAUGCACGUCUUGACGGUACCUAAUCAGAAAGCAACGGCUAACUACGUG